rnacentral:misc_RNA from 1 species
AGAAACAUCGACGCGUGUGUCGAACAUAGAAUCGAAGGACUUCGCAUCUGCCCCCCCCCCCGUUCCUUGCUGCCCCACUCCCAGUCGUUGAUUUAACCUCUACCAACCCCAUUGGCGGUUGAAGGCACGCUUCGUCGUCUGCUGCAUCUUUCUCCUCCCUCAUCACUCUCUGGCCCACGUCUUUGUCGCUAAGCUUCCGGCCUCCUGUGCGAGAGAAGACUCUCUGCUCCCUGAUCCCUUCCCAACUUGCCGCGCAAGUACGCCCUUCGUCCCACGCCACAAAAGCAUUGCAUCAUCGUGCACGACUGCAGCAGCACAUGCGUGCCUGUGCCCCGCUGCGUUCCGCGGCUGCGGCUGGCCUGCCUGCCGCUAGCUUCAAAGUGCUGCACCAGGAUGAGUGCGUGCUGCGCUACGACGCAGCCUCACAGAUCGCGAUCCUCUCAAUGGAGCGCCACGCGCGCAAAAAUGCAAUUGGCGUCGGCUUUCUGAACUGCAUCCAGCAGGCCAUCGAUGUGUGCAGGGCUGGCGCACCGUCUGGCGCUUGCACCACCGCCUCCGCCGACUGCCCGCCCGUGCGCUGCCUCAUCGUCUCCAGCGCCGUCCCGAAAGUGUUCUGUGCCGGCGCAGAUUUGAAGGAGCGGAAGGAGAUGUCUGUCGCAGAGUCGCGCGCAUUCGUGCAGCGCCUGCGCCGAACCUUCAAUGACUUGGAGGACUUGCCCAUUGCAACCAUCGCCGCCAUCGAGGGCAAGGCACUCGGCGGCGGCAUGGAGCUGGCCCUGUCGCUAGACAUGCGCGUGGCAGGCGACGGGGCCACCGUGGGCUUCCCGGAGACAGGUCUUGCCAUCAUCCCUGGCGCGGGUGGCACCGUGCGCGCACCGGCAGCGCUCGGCGUUAGCCGUGCGCUGGAGUUGAUCCUGACGGCUGAGCAGGUGUCCGCCCGGCGCGCCAUGGAACUGGGUCUAGUGAACCGUGUCGUGCCGGCUGGCUCGGCCCUCGAGGCUGCGCUGGACCUGGCGCUGCGCAUUUCCAAGAACGGGCCGCUCGCCGUGUGCGCCGCAAAGACGGCGGUCCGCGCUGCCGUGGGUAAGACGCGGGCGGAGGCGAUGCAGGUGGAGGCGGAGCAGUACGAGGUUGUGCUCGCCACGGAGGAUCGCCUUGAAGGUCUCAAGGCCUUCGCAGAGCAUCGCACCCCCGUGUACAAAGGUAAGUAAUGCGGGGCUCGACGAGGCAGCAGUCACCGUGGCCCCUCUGCAGGCCGUUCUCGCCAUGCACGACACACCGUUUUCUUUCUCUCCUC